UACAGAGGGUGCGAGCGUUACUCGGAAUUACUGGGCGUAAAGCGCGCGUAGGCGGCUUUGCAAGUCGGGUGUGAAAUCCCCAGGCUUAACCUGGGAACUGCAUUCGAGACUGCAUUGCUAGAGUAUGGGAGAGGGAAGUGGAAUUUACGGUGUAGCAGUGAAAUGCGUAGAGAUCGUAAGGAAGACCAGUGGCGAAGGCGGCUACCUGGCCCAAUACUGACACUCAGGUGCGACAGCGUGGGGAGCAAACAGG
rnacentral:rRNA from 1 species